UCCCUUGUGGUCUUGUGGUUAAGGACUCAGCAUUGCCACUGCUGUGGCUCGGGUUUGAUCCCUGGCCUAGGAG
rnacentral:tRNA from 1 species